rnacentral:rRNA from 1 species
GAUGAACGCUAGCUACAGGCUUAACACAUGCAAGUCGAGGGGCAGCAUGACCUAGCAAGUAGGUUGAUGGCGACCGGCGCACGGGUGAGUAACACGUAUCCAACCUACCGGUUAUUCCGGGAUAGCCUUUCGAAAGAAAGAUUAAUACCGGAUAGUAUAACGAGAAGGCAUCUUUUUGUUAUUAAAGAAUUUCGAUAACCGAUGGGGAUGCGUUCCAUUAGUUUGUUGCGGGGUAACGGCCCACCAAGACAUCGAUGGAUAGGGGUUCUGAGAGGAAGGUCCCCCACAUUGGAACUGAGACACGGUCCAAACUCCUACGGGAGGCAGCAGUGAGGAAUAUUGGUCAAUGGACGAGAGUCUGAACCAGCCAAGUAGCGUGAAGGAUGACUGCCCUAUGGGUUGUAAACUUCUUUUAUAUGGGAAUAAAGUGAGCCACGUGUGGCUUUUUGUAUGUACCAUACGAAUAAGGAUCGGCUAACUCCGUG